CUAGAACAGAGAGAUACUGAUUCCAAAGGAAGAAACGAUCCAGACAGCAUCGUCUCAUACCUGGAAAACCCAAAGUCCUUGAACUAAGAAGCAUUCCAGAUCUAAGAAGGAUGAACAGAAGGGCCCGUUUGUUGCCUGUGGGAGGGCGAAAUGGCACAGCCGGGCUGGAAGUCUCUUCAGCAAUUCCCCACAAAAGUGAGAUCCUGUCACCCUGUGAGGCAGCAGCUGAGCCCCUUGGUGCUUAUCGAAAUGAAACCAAAUCUUCGAACCACGUGAAACCUGAACAAAAAUGUUUGUAUUAGCUUCACCCAAGUUGCCAGAGCUUGGGAAAUAAUCAAGGUGCCUUCAAGGGGUGAGUGGAUGGUCCGGACUCUCCAGACAACGGAAUAUUAUCGAGUGCUAAGGAGAAAUGAGCUUUCAAGUCUUGGCGACACCGAGAACUUUCGAGUACAUAUGACUAGGGAAGAGGGGACAGCAAAGCGUUUGGACAGUCCCUCUGACUGUGGGACCUUCUGGGAAACCCAAAGCUGUGAAAUGGUAAAAAGAUGAGAGGUUGGCCAGAAGGAAGAGGAAGAGCAUGAAGGAUUUUGUUCUAUCGAUGAAACCGUUCUAUGUGGGAUCAAUUUGUCCAAAGCCAUGCGAUGUACAGUUCCUAGAGUGAGGCCAAGCUCCUCAGCACUGUGCAUCCGACUCACUCUGCAUCUCACUGGAGAAAGCCACGCGGCUCAGAUUCUUCCAGUUCCUCUCUCCCCCUGGAAGUCCCGCCUAUCCUCUCCUGCCUAGCUAUGGGCCAUCCAGCUCUUUACUAAACCAAUCAGAAGGUGCCCCAGGCAGAUGGGGCAAAACAGAGACAUAUCUUCACAGCGAACAGAAAGAUUGUCCCACAACAAUUAAGAGGUGUGGCCUUGUUGGAGGAAAUGUGUCACUGGGGGUGGGCUUUGAGCUCAAGUCAGGUCCAGUGGUGCUCUUUCUUCCUGCUGCCUGCUGAUCCAGAUGUAGAACUCUCAGCUGCCUCUUCAGCACCGUGUCUUGUUAUGUAGUCCUGGCCGGUCCCAGACGGGCUGCAGUUUUCUUGUCUUGGCCCCCAGGAUGCUGGGAUUCAGGCUUGUGCCACUUGCCCGGCAGCAUUCCCUCAUUUAUUUUGUGUUGUGAGGUAUUCACCACAGAAGAGUGCUCCGACAUGGGUUUAAGCCAAUAGGAAGUCUUUAUCAGCUGGCCAGCGACUGCAUUGGGUGUUCAGUACCCCAGUGUAGCCCUGAGCCUUUCACAGGGUGAUCUUUUAAACACAAAGCCAUGUUCUGGGUUUAUAUGCUUCAGUUAACGAGAACAGUUAGUCAGAAGCAGAAUUGCAGAAGCUAAAAAGCAAGGUUAGUAUAUUAAAGACUUUCCCAGAACUAUGUGCACUUUGAUGGAGUAGGUCUUUGUUUUAGUUUUGGCAGGAGGUGCUGCCUACAUGCUGGGUUUUACAGACUGAACGGCGCUUCCAUCAUGGAGUCAGUUGUGCUAAGGCCUGGGGGCCUGCUACAUCUUGUAUCUUUCUUUAUUCUUCCGAGUCGAGUUUUCCUUCCUCAGGUGCCACUUGUGUGCCUCGUGCCCACAGAGGCCAGGGGAUGGCAGUGGAUCCCCUGGAACUGGAGUUGCAGAGGGUCAUCAGCUGCCAAGUGGGUGCUGGGAUCUGCACCCGGGUCCUCUGAGCCGCAUCUCCAGGCUGGGGAAAGACAGUUUCAAGGGUUUCCAGUGCUAGGCCGACAGCUGUCUCCCGUCAACAUCUGCACGAUUAUAGUCAUGAGUGUUAAUAUUCUGACCCACCCCUUGGAAACUCGCCUCUUGGAAACCGGCCCCUUGGAAACCGGCCCCUUGGAAACUGGCCUCUUGGAAACCCGCCCCUUGGGGCCGCCCUGCGUCCUGAUGGAAAAGCCUGAUUUAAGGAAAAACCUCUCCCUUCUCUCUCUCUCCUGCUCUCCUUCUCCCCAUUCCCACGAGGUGUGCGCCCUUGACCCCCUCCCGCUCGUCCUCUCUCUUCCUUCUGUCUUUUCCACUUUCCCUAUCUUUCUCUCCAUCUCUCUAUUAUAAUAAACUCAUUUCUGAGGA